rnacentral:rRNA from 1 species
AGUGAACGCUGGCGGUAGGCCUAACACAUGCAAGUCGAACGGCAGCACAGUAAGAGCUUGCUCUUACGGGUGGCGAGUGGCGGACGGGUGAGGAAUACAUCGGAAUCUACUUUUUCGGGGGGGAUAACGUAGGGAAACUUACGCUAAUACCGCAUACGACCUACGGGUGAAAGCAGGGGAUCUUCGGACCUUGCGCGAUUGAAUGAGCCGAUGUCGGAUUAGCUAGUUGGCGGGGUAAAGGCCCACCAAGGCGACGAUCCGUAGCUGGUGUGAGAGGAUGAUCAGCCACACUGGAACUGGGACACGGUCCAGACUCCUACGGGAGGGAGCAGUGGGGAAUAGUGGACAAUGGGCGCAAGCCUGAUCCAGCCAUACCGCGUGGGUGAAGAAGGCCUUCGGGUUGUAAAGCCCUUUUGUUGGGAAAGAAAAGCAGCAGGUUAAUACCCCGCUGUUCUGACGGUACCCAAAGAAUAAGCACCGGCUAACUUCGUG